GCGCCAAUUGCAAUUCCAAGUGAGAUUAUAGUUGUUGCUAGUAGUACUAUAAAGAUCUUUUCUGGGAUGUUUGAGUCCAGAAUGGUGCACCGCUCUUCCUCCUUCUACACCCGAUCAGAGCUCCAGAGUUGGCUUACACCGUGCUGAGACUCCCUAUUUGGGUGUCAGUUUGAGUUUGGAAGUUUGGGUCCGGGUCUUCCUCCAGAUCGGCGUUUCCGGAGUUGUCCCUUCCCAAAAUCCUCCUCUCUCUCCCUGAUUCCCAAAUGGUACAAUGUUUAAAUUUAACCUCCGACCUUGAGACCUAGUCUUUUUUCUCUUUUAUUUCUGACGCCAUCUUUUUCUUUUUCUAGUUCAACUAGUUCUGCCUUGUUUUGACAAAUCCUGCUGACUAUGCCAGCUGUCGCAAGCAGGUACUGUGGGUAAAGAGGACUCAGACUCGGAUGGCAAUUCACACACUUAUCUUGUAUUAUUAUAAUUCAUUUCAAUACAAUUACCACACAAUAUUAAGUCUGCCAAUUACCACGUCCCUGUACCUGUACUGCCCAAGUCCUUAUGGGAGCGCCACGUUUCCUCCCGCAGGGUCAGAGGGUCCGAUCCAUAGACGAAGGGCGUCGAGUCGACGCUAGUCUAUCUGCCUCUCCGCUUUCCUUGUCCUCUGGUCUCGUCUGGUCAGUGGCGAUGCUCCUCCCAGCGGGAUCAGGUGUGCAGAGGUCUCGGUCAGUAGUCAGAUCAUCAGACUGGCUGGCCGACUGGUCGGUGGACGGAUCGUCGACUUGCUUGGGGGUCUUCAGCUCCUUUUAUACUAUUCUAACUGGGCGUUCGUGGUAUUGGUUCAGACUUAUCACACUGUCCAGCUUGGGGCAUACUCUGCCCAAUUCAGGGUACGCCCUGUCCAGUUCGGGGGUACACCCUUAUCAGUUCUAUACCACUUAAGGUUCUACUUUCCUUACUUUCAAAUCCUAUGGUUACACAUCACUCUUAUGAUUGUGUUAUACUUAGGUUACAGCACUCUUAAAGUCACAGCACACUUUAGGGUUACAGCACACUUAGGGUUAUACAAUUCCAUCUUAUUCCAAGGUGUUCUCCACAUUUUUACAGUCCUCCCAAUUAGGACAAUGGACAGCAAAAGUGGAAUCAAAUAAUUGAAGCAUUUUGGAGGGGUCUUGGCAAAGAAUAAAUGACUUUCCUUUUCUCUGGACCUAACCUCCUUUGUCUUUUUAAAGUCAAAUCUCAAAUACCACACCUUGGUCUGACAUAUUUGUGCCUUUUUCCAACAGUCUUUUUUCUAACUCACUAUAAAGGAGGUCAUAUUGUAACUUGUUGGCUCUUAAACACUUUGAAGAUAACCAAUGUACACAUAUUAUAGUAGCAUAUUUAGAAUUUAACCCUUUGAUGACAACUAAUGUAAACAUAUUUAAACUUUUUAUAACAUACUUGAAACCAACAAACAUACAUAUUUUUUGAUAAAUCACUUUCACGCAUCUUUUGACAUACCUAGGCCUUGUGGUCUUAUAUAUUUUUUAUCUUUUUUAAAAUUACUUUUUAUUUUUUCUUUUUUUCUUUUUAACAAGACAAACAUGCAAAAAUUUUAUAUCAAAAUUGUAUCUCUUUUACUUAUAGCUUUAAAUAUAUUUUUUAUCUCACUAUAGACCUUUUAUCACAAACUUGUCUUUAGCUGUUAAAAUUUUAAAGUGUCCCUUUUUUCCUUCUCAGAUUGUUACACUUUAAAUUUGGUUGGCUGCCAAUAGAAUGGUAGUAACCUUGAGGGUUUCUUUUUAAUCAACAAAGUACAGAAAAGAGCUAGUUAACCUUAUAAUUACAAUUGAAGAAUUUGCAAAGUACAAUACUUUAAGCACACCAAUUAAACAUCAAUUCAAACUGAAACACAAAUACAUUUAUCAAUUAGCUAAAAUUUGUAACCCUUGUAAAAUUUCUUACUUUCUCUGGCUUUAUGUCCUUCAGAGCUUUUUUUAGCUGUUUUUAAUCCAUUACUUAUUUUUUUCUUACUAAUUUUUAAAACUUGAGUGUAAGCCCUAUUUGAUCCUCUCUGAGUCUGACCACAGCAUGGUGCUCUGAAGCCAAGCAGUUUUCAUGCUUUUGUCCCCACCUCCUCCAAACCUGUGAAUUUAGCAACUCAAAAAGAGGGGGGAAAGUCUAAAUUCUCUCAGCCUGGAUCUGAAAGGGCUUCUGGGGCACACAUAUGAAGCCAAGGAGGCAUUCUGUGGCACAAUUUGGGCCAUAAAUCAAUAUAGGGAAAUUGAUCUGGAUGUUCCCAUCCAGGGGCAGUGACUGUUAGCCCAAUGGACCAGACGAGACCCUCACCUAGGGAUCUCUCAGUUGAGCAAGCUAGGCAAAGCUUGGGCCAUUCUAACUCACAAAAGGCUCUAAGUUUUGAGGUUUCAUCUUUUUUUGGGAGGGGGGGUCAUCUUAAUACCAUAAUUUCCAGUAAAACCUUUCUUAAAAUUCUUAAGCAUGCAUUCCAAAACAGUAGGAUGAGAUAUUUCUGUCCCCACGACCAGCCGAUCAGUGUUGGUGUGUGUAUGGGUACCCUUGUAUGGAGAUGCAAGACAAACAAAGGUGGGGGAUCACUCGCUCACCUGCCUGGCUGCGGGCUUCUCGGCCAUUUUAAGGUCUGUUCAGGGUAAGGUGGGCUGUCGCCUAAGCUCACCAUUGUGUCUUUGUUAAACGCAACCACACAAAGUUCUGCGAUUCAGGAAGGACUCUUUAAGCACAAGCGCUUCCUCCCUGUCUUGUUCCGCAGCUUGUUCCACACACUCUCCUAUCCAGAACUCUUUCACUCACACAUUUAUUCAGAUCACAUUCCCUCCCGGUGACCCCCUAACCAUAACCAAAACAAAUGAAAGAAGUUACCUCCCCAAAUGGCAAAGCACAAAGGGUGAUCGGGCCCCUGCACUAUGUUUGCCCAAAGUUCAUAAACGGAACCAAAACAAAUGGAAGGAGCUACCUUUCCAAAUGGCAGAGCACAAGGGGUGAUCAGGCCCCUGUGCACUAUUUGCCCAAAAUUACGGAAUACAAAUUCACAAGGUGAAACCGAAAGUUAAUGACUAGGGGUUUCCUGGGGUUUCUCACCCAGCAAAGGAAAGAGACAGACAAGACACCAAGAACAGCAGUCCUUCUUCUGUAGUCUCCUCAGGUUCACGCGAUCCUCUGCCCAGUGAGCGGAUCUCUGUGUCCUGUUGGGGAGCCUAGGAAAUUAGUCCCAAGGGUGCGCCUUUCCUCUGGAGGAGACAGAGAGCCGCUCCAUCUGGUGGGGUUCUGGUGGGGUUCGGGCCGAUGCCUGUGAUGGCUAUUUCAUUCCUGAUUCCCGGCCAAAGUACCAAAUGUUACGGAAAUCUCGGAAAGAAAUACAAAGAGACACAAAAUUCAGAUAAAAUAAUAAAAUUUCUUCUCACAAGUAGGUGGAAUGUCAGAAACCGGUCUGGUCAGUAUCUGCCCCCUUUGUUCAGGGUUUCCCUUUUUGUAUCCUUUUUAGCCAUUAUCUUAUCCCUAGUGGUCUUUGAUGUGUAAAUACAAUUCCAAUUCCUAUUUACAAGUCACAGACACAAGAUAGGCCAUAUACAUUGUAAAUUCACCUUGGCAUGGUAACUUUGUUAGGUUAAUGAAGUUACGGGUUAGAGUCAGAUAAUUAUCACCUUAAACAAGGAGUUAUGGGAAAAGCAAAUUUUAAAAGAACACAUUAUUUAUUUUGUUUCUACAACUACCUUAAUAUUCAAUCUAUUAAAUUAUCUAAAACUUUUCCGUAUCAAUGUAAAGGUGCAAAUUUCCAAGGAUGAAUGUCAUAUUGUAUACCUUAAAUGUACCAUAAAAUUAAUUAAAAAAAAAAUGUAUGAGGGCCUGGAUUCAAUACCUAGUACCACUGAAGAAAGAAAGAAAGAAAGAGAAAAAUGAGCCAGGCAUAGUGGUGCAUGCAUGUGAUCCCAGCACUUGGGAGGCUGAAACAGGAGGAUCUCUGAGAGUUCAAGGCCAGCCUGAAUUAUAUAGCAAGACCCUGCUUCAAGAAAACAAAAAACAAAGUGACAGAAAGUUAUGAUUCCCAGUAGGAGUAUAAAUUGGGAUAAUCACUUUGGAACAUAGAAUAGCACCAGUCUGUGCAGAUUAACAAACACAUUUCUUCUUUUUUUAAUGACGGGUCUCUCUAUGUAGUUCAGGCUGGCCUUGAACUGACUAUGUAGUUGAGAGUGGCCCUGAACUCACAGUGACCCUCUUGCCUCAGGCUCCCGGGUGCUGGGAUUACAGACAUGUGAAGAGAAGCGUUUCUGUGCAUACACCAAGAGACGUGAACAAGAAUACUUAGGACUGGGCCGGGGAUUUAGCUCAGUGGUUCCGCAGCCUGCCUUGCAAGUGCAAGGACCCGAGUUCGAUCCCUGGUACCAAAAAAAAAAAAAAAGAAUACUUAGAACUGUUUUUCUUCUGGUCCCAAGCAUUUGGCAGCUGUGGGUGACAGUGCAGAUAAGGUCAAGUCCAAGAACCACACCACACAACCAGUGCCCAGAAUGGCACAGAAACGGCAUCAAGAAACCCAGAUCUCAAAGGUUCAAGCCUCUGAAGGGGGGAAGAUCCCAAGUUCCUGAGGAACAUGUGUUUUGUCAAGAAACACAAGAAGGGCCUGAAGAAGAUGAAGGCAAACAAUGCCACAACCAU
ensembl:lncRNA